AUUGAACGCUGGCGGCAGGCCUAACACAUGCAAGUCGAGCGAAUGAAGGGAGCUUGCUCCUGGAUUCAGCGGCGGACGGGUGAGUAAUGCCUAGGAAUCUGCCUGGUAGUGGGGGAUAACGUCCGGAAACGGGCGCUAAUACCGCAUACGUCCUGAGGGAGAAAGUGGGGGAUCUUCGGACCUCACGCUAUCAGAUGAGCCUAGGUCGGAUUAGCUAGUUGGUGGGGUAAAGGCCUACCAAGGCGACGAUCCGUAACUGGUCUGAGAGGAUGAUCAGUCACACUGGAACUGAGACACGGUCCAGACUCCUACGGGAGGCAGCAGUGGGGAAUAUUGGACAAUGGGCGAAAGCCUGAUCCAGCCAUGCCGCGUGUGUGAAGAAGGUCUUCGGAUUGUAAGGCACUUUAAGUUGGGAGGAAGGGCAGUAAGUUAAUACCUUGCUGUUUUGACGUUACCAACAGAAUAAGCACCGGCUAACUUCGUG
rnacentral:rRNA from 1 species